CCUCGUCGACCAGCUGCGGGCAGAUGAAAUGGAUGUGUGCGUCGAUCCCUCCGGCCGUGAGGAUGUGGCCCUCACCGGCGAUCGCUUCGGUCGUGACGCCGACGAUCAUGCCGGGGGUGACGCCGCGCAUGACCGUGGGGUUCCCGGCCUUGCCGAUCCCGACGAUGCGUCCGUGCUUGAUCCCGACGUCGGCCUUGUAGAUCCCGGACCAGUCGACGAUGAGCGCGUUCGUGAUGACGACGUCGAGUGCACGGUCGUCGUCCACGCCCGGCAUCUGGCCCUGCGCGUCGCGGAGG
rnacentral:sRNA from 1 species